GAUGAACGCUGGCGGCGUGCCUAAUACAUGCAAGUCGAGCGAACAGACGAGGAGCUUGCUCCUCUGACGUUAGCGGCGGACGGGUGAGUAACACGUGGAUAACCUACCUAUAAGACUGGGAUAACUUCGGGAAACCGGAGCUAAUACCGGAUAAUAUAUUGAACCGCAUGGUUCAAUAGUGAAAGACGGUUUUGCUGUCACUUAUAGAUGGAUCCGCGCCGCAUUAGCUAGUUGGUAAGGUAACGGCUUACCAAGGCAACGAUGCGUAGCCGACCUGAGAGGGUGAUCGGCCACACUGGAACUGAGACACGGUCCAGACUCCUACGGGAGGCAGCAGUAGGGAAUCUGCCGCAAUGGGCGAAAGCUUGACGGAGCAACGCCGCGUGAGUGAUGAAGGUCUGCGGAUCGUAAAACUCUGUUAUUAGGGAAGAACAAAUGUGUAAGUAACUAUGCACGUCUUGACGGUACCUAAUCAGAAAGCCACGGCUAACUACGU
rnacentral:rRNA from 1 species